GACGAACGCUGGCGGCGUGCCUAAUACAUGCAAGUUGAGCGCUGAAGGUUGGUACUUGUACCGACUGGAUGAGCAGCGCACGGGUGAGUAACGCGUGGGGAAUCUGCCUUUGAGCGGGGGACAACAUUUGGAAACGAAUGCUAAUACCGCAUAAAAACUUUAAACACAAGUUUUAAGUUUGAAAGAUGCAAUUGCAUCACUCAAAGAUGAUCCCGCGUUGUAUUAGCUAGUUGGUGAGGUAAAGGCUCACCAAGGCGAUGAUACAUAGCCGACCUGAGAGGGUGAUCGGCCACAUUGGGACUGAGACACGGCCCAAACUCCUACGGGAGGCAGCAGUAGGGAAUCUUCGGCAAGGGACGAAAGUCUGACCGAGCAACGCCGCGUGAGUGAAGAAGGUUUUCGGAUCGUAAAACUCUGUUGGUAGAGAAGAACGUUGGUGAGAGUGGAAAGCUCAUCAAGUGACGGUAACUACCCAGAAAGGGACGGCUAACUACGUG
rnacentral:rRNA from 1 species